rnacentral:rRNA from 1 species
ACGGGGGGGGCAAGCGUUGUUCGGAAUUACUGGGCGUAAAGGGCUCGUAGGUGGCCAACUAAAUCAGGCGUGAAAUCCCCAGGCUCAACCUGGGAACUGCGUCUGAUACUGGAUGGCUUGAAUUCGGGAGAGGGAUGCAGAAUUCCAGGUGUAGCGGUGAAAUGCGUAGAUAUCUGGAGGAACACCGGUGGCGAAGGCGGCAUCCUGGACCGACAUUGACGCUGAGGCGCGAAAGCCAGGGGAGCAAACGGGA